CCUACGGGAGGCAGCAGUGAGGAAUAUUGGACAAUGGGCGCAAGCCUGAUCCAGCCAUGCCGCGUGCAGGAAGACGGUCCUAUGGAUUGUAAACUGCUUUUAUACAGGAAGAAACACCUCUACGUGUAGAGACUUGACGGUACUGUAUGAAUAAGCAUCGGCUAACUCCGUGCCAGCAGCCGCGGUAAUACGGAGGAUGCAAGCGUUAUCCGGAAUCAUUGGGUUUAAAGGGUCCGUAGGCGGUUUAAUAAGUCAGUGGUGAAAGCCCAUCGCUCAACGAUGGAACGGCCAUUGAUACUGUUAAACUUGAAUUAUUAGGAAGUAACUAGAAUAUGUAGUGUAGCGGUGAAAUGCUUAGAGAUUACAUGGAAUACCAAUUGCGAAGGCAGGUUACUACUAAUAUAUUGACGCUGAUGGACGAAAGCGUGGGGAGCGAACAGGAUUAGAUACCCUGGUAGUCCACGCCGUAAACGAUGGAUACUAGCUGUUCGGAGCAAUCUGAGUGGNGUAGAGAAGAGAUAAGUAUACCACCGUCGGGAGGUACGGUUCGCGAGAAGAGAAACGUUAAAGUUAAGUAAGUUAGUACGGACGUGAGACGUACGACCGACGGACGACGACGAGGGGAGGAGGAG
rnacentral:rRNA from 1 species